CUCUUCAAAGUAUUUGUUUUUUCAAGCCAAGAAAUUAGAGAGAGAGAAAUAUCAAAAGUAUUUGUCAAAACUUAAUGUGCGGAACUCGCCUAGAAAAAGCUAAAACAAAGCUUUAAAUAGUUCACCCUAAUUAUGAAAACAAAAUAAUAGAAUUCAGAAAUCCCUUGGAUUAGGUGACGACAUUUGUGAUAUCCCAUCAGGAGGAUGACGACUUAUCACAAAUGUCUUUAGCUUUGGCUCUUCCUGUUUAAGGCUGAUGAAAAACUUGACAACUUAUCAACUUCGUGAUGGCCUAUCAUAAAAUAUCAUCAAAUCUCUGCUUCAGUUCUCCUGUGCUGCCUCAGGCUAACAACAUUCUUGACAGCUUAUCAGACCCUUGACGACUUAUC
rnacentral:lncRNA from 1 species